CAAAAAGCGUUCCAAAUGAGAGGCCUAAUUUGGAACUGUCGAGGGGUAGGCAAGAGAGGGAUGGCCACCUGCCUCUCAGACAUGAUCAGUGACCAUUCCCUUGAUUUUCUGGGUCUUCAAGAGACUAUGAAAAAAGACUUCUUGCCUAAAUGCUUGAGGAGAAUUGAUCCUUUUAGCAUCUUUCACUGGAAUUGGAUCCCCUCUGUAGGAAAAUCUGGUGGCAUUUUGUGUGGUGUUAGGAGAGAUAAUUUGGAGAUAAUUUCCUGCCAUAAGGGCAAUCAUAUUCUGCAACUAGUGCUACAAGAUAAACACAAGAAUCUGAAGUGGGCCUGCUGGUAG
rnacentral:rRNA from 1 species